rnacentral:rRNA from 1 species
CCCGCUGAACUUAAGCAUAUCAAUAAGCGGAGGAAAAGAAACCAACGGGGAUUGCCUCAGUAACGGCGAGUGAAGCGGCAAAAGCUCAAAUUUGAAAUCUGACCCUUCGGGUCCGAGUUGUAAUUUGCAGAGGAUGUUUCGGGUAAGAUUUUGGUCUAAGUUCCUUGGAACAGGACGUCAUAGAGGGUGAGAAUCCCGUACGUGACCGUUAAUCGCACCCAUGUGAAACUCCUUCGACGAGUCGAGUUGUUUGGGAAUGCAGCUCAAAAUGGGUGGUAAAUUUCAUCUAAAGCUAAAUAUUGGCCAGAGACCGAUAGCGCACAAGUAGAGUGAUCGAAAGAUGAAAAGCACUUUGAAAAGAGAGUUAAACAGUAUGUGAAAUUGUUGAAAGGGAAGCGCUUGCAACCAGACUUGUUUAUAGGGUUCAGCCGUCGUUCUCGUCGGUGUAUUUCCCUAUUAUCAGGCCAGCAUCAGUUUAGGUGGAAGGUCAAAGGCCUUGGGAAUGUAUCAUCCCCCGGGAUGUCUUAUAGCCCUCGGUGUAAUGCUUCCCUCCUGGACUGAGGAACGCGCUUUUGCUCGGAUGCUGGCGUAAUGGUUGUAAGCGACCCGUCUUGAAACACGG